CUACGGGGGGCAGCAGUGGGGAAUAUUGCACAAUGGGGGGAACCCUGAUGCAGCAACGCCGCGUGGAGGAUGACGCAUUUCGGUGUGUAAACUCCUUUUAUAUGUCAAGAAAAUGACGGUAGCAUAUGAAUAAGCACCGGCUAACUCCGUGCCAGCAGCCGCGGUAAUACGGAGGGUGCAAGCGUUACUCGGAAUCACUGGGCGUAAAGGACGCGUAGGCGGGUUGGAAAGUCAGGUGUGAAAUCCUACAGCUUAACUGUAGAACUGCACUUGAAACUUCUAAUCUAGAGUAUGGGAGGGGGAGAUGGAAUUAGUGGUGUAGGGGUAAAAUCCGUAGAUAUCACUAGGAAUACCUAAAGCGAAGGCGAUCUCCUGGAACAUUACUGACGCCAAGGCGUGAAAGCGUGGGGAGCAAACAGGAUUAGAUACCCUAGUAGUC
rnacentral:rRNA from 1 species